AUUGAACGCUGGCGGCAGGCUUAACACAUGCAAGUCGAACGAGUGGCGGACGGGUGAGUAAUGCUUGGGAAUCUAGCUUAUGGCGGGGGAUAACUACGGGAAACUGUAGCUAAUACCGCGUACCAUAGGAUGAGCCCAAGUGGGAUUAGGUAGUUGGUGAGGUAAAGGCUCACCAAGCCGACCAUCCCUAGCUGGUCUGAGAGGAUGACCAACCACACUGAGACAUAGACACGGACCAGACACCUACGUGAGGCAGCAUUGGGGAAGAUGCCGCAAGGGGGGCAACCGAGCGCAGCCAUGCCGCGUGAAUGAAGAAGGCCUUCGGUUUGUAAAGUUCUUUCGGUAGCGAGGCGUUAACUACAGAAGAAGCACCGGCUAACUCCGUGCCAGCCGCCGCGGUAAUUC
rnacentral:rRNA from 1 species